rnacentral:rRNA from 1 species
AGCGAACGCUGGCGGCAGGCCUAGCACAUGCAAGUCGAACGAACCUUUCGGGGUUAGUGGCGGACGGGUGAGUAACACGUGGGAACGUGCCUUUAGGUUCGGAAUAACUCAGGGAAACUUGUGCUAAUACCGAAUGUGCCCUUCGGGGGAAAGAUUAAUCGCCUUUAGAGCGGCCCGCGUCUGAUUAGCUAGUUGGUUGAGGUAAUGGCUCACCAAGGCUACGAUCAGUAGCUGGUCUGAGAGGAUGAUCAGCCACAUUGGGACUGAGACACGGCCCAAACUCCUACGGGAGGCAGCAGUGGGGAAUCUUGCGCAAUGGGCGAAAGCCUGACGCAGCCAUGCCGCGUGAAUGAUGAGGGUCUUAGGAUUGUAAAAUUCUUUCACCGGGGACGAUAAUGACGGUACCCGGAGAAGAAGCCCCGGCUAACUUCGU